rnacentral:misc_RNA from 1 species
UUUCCGUAGGUGAACCUGCGGAAGGAUCAUUCAUAAUAAGUGUUUUAUGGCACUUUUUAAAUCCAUAUCCACCUUGUGUGCAAUGUCAGGGUUGAUUUUUCUCUCGAGAGGAUCAGCCCCAAACGUCAACUAUAUCUCAACUCUUUGUCUGAAAAAUAUUAUGAAUAAAACAAUUCAAAAUACAACUUUCAACAACGGAUCUCUUGGCUCUC